GCUCCAGUGGUGCAAUUGGUUAGUGCAUGGUACUUAUACAACAGUACAAGAUGGAGCUGUGCUGAGGUUGUGAGUUUGAGCCUCACCUAGAGCA